rnacentral:rRNA from 1 species
CCCUUAGACGUUCUGGGCCGCACGCGCGCUACACUGACGGAGCCAGCGAGUAUAAACCUUGGCCGAGAGGUCUGGGAAAUCUUGUGAAACUCCGUCGUGCUGGGGAUAGAGCAUUGUAAUUAUUGCUCUUCAACGAGGAAUUCCUAGUAAGCGCAAGUCAACAGCUUGCGUUGAUUACGUCCCUGCCCUUUGUACACACCGCCCGUCGCUACUACUGAUUGGAUGUUUAAGCGAGGUUCUCGAACUGCUAGCGACUUAGCUUCGGUGGGGUCGCAGUGUGGGAAGUGAACCUAGCUUUGGUGUCUAGAGGAAGUAAAAGUCGUAACA